rnacentral:sRNA from 1 species
GGUGACCGGAAGAAAGCCACAAACAAAAAUACUGUCAAGAAAUUUGGGAGCAUUCAUUCUAUUCAAGAAACUGAAAUUCAACUUAUGGCCUUGAGGAAAAUGCGAGACAUUGACAAAUGUGUAGACACAAGUGACCUUGACUUUGACCCCGACGACUACGUCCAGUUUAUGCGCCUGAGAAACAAACAGAUGAGCAGACGAUUUUCAAAACGAAGGUCAACACUUAUCUCACACACCGAAGCUCCGAGAAAGGUAUCGGACGAGGAAGUCUAUCUCGAAGAUGCUCCAAGUCAAAUAUCGUCUGAUUGAACCGGAAGUUUCAAAUCACGUGAUGCGUCUGAAGAAGUGGGGAGUCAUGGGAUACGCCAUUUCCGCCAAAUAUCAUCCCAACAUUUUGCUAAUAUCCCAUGAUACAAUGCAAACAUCCCUACAUAGUUUACUCGACAUAUUAACAUUAUUAGUAAAACAUGUGUACAUACUUCUAAUAAUUUUUACUUUUCAUUAGUAGAAUAAAAAACAACACCACUUCAUCCUAUGAGUAUAUAUACAAAGGUAGACAUAGUGUGAUAUAUUUUUAUAUCUUUAAGCCGUAAAAUUAUUAGCUUUAAGAUUUAUCUAAGCUAUCAUCUUUAAUGUCAACUUUAUAGUCCUAAAAUGUUUAUUAUAUAUUCAAUAUAUCAUUUUUAAUAGAACUUUUAUAUUAAAGAUAUCAAAUCAAAUGUUCGUAGUGUCAUUAAAGGGAAGUUAAUGUCACAUCAUUAUUUUACUUGUAUUUGUAAGAGUUAUCUUCCUUGAGCCGACACAACACGCAAGAUCUACGUAAAACAACUCAGUUCAGUUGACAAUAACAACUAACAAUUUGUGUUGUCUCUAUACACAUACAUUUUCAUGACGUAGUGCCGCAGAACAUCCCUUAGUAUUUAUACGUAGCUUAUAUAACUCAAAGCACUUGAUAUAUGUAACAUAUGAAACUAAUGUCAGCAUUGUAUCUGCUUGUGUCUUGUUCAAUAAAUCUGUUUUUAAAACAUAAAGAAUCACGAAACAGACAAUGCUCAAUCAUGGACAAAUAGUUCAACAUUUAUGUCUACUAAGUCAUUGGCUAGAGAAUACAUUGUAUCAUCUUUAGGAUUAACACUGUAGUCAUUGCAACAAGAAAUUAAAUCGUUAAAAAUGAAAUGAAGUGUUGGUGAUUUUUAUAUAACUGCUUUGCAAUGCAGGGCCGGACCCAGACUUGAAAAAAAAUUGACGUAAAUUAUAGAUGUCCAUAAAUAAACAUAGAUGUCUGCAAGCUUACGCCCUGAAAUUAUAGAUGUCCAUAAAUAAACAUAGAUGUCUGCAAGCUUACGCCCUGAAAUUAUAGAUGUCCAUAAAUAAACAUAGAUGUCUGCAAGCUUACACCUUUAAAUUAUAGAUGUCCAUAGAUCAAAAUAAAUAUCCCACCUGGUGUCCACUGCUCUGAGGUCCUCCAUGAAAGU